rnacentral:rRNA from 1 species
UAAAAUGGCCAUACCUUCUUGCCUGAUUUUGUCUUAUCCCAGAAGCUAAGCAGGGUUGGGCCUAGUUAGCAUUAGUUGUAGUAAUAGGGUGGCAGUAGCUGUGUUGUUGUUGUUG